UACGAAGGGGGCUAGCGUUGCUCGGAAUCACUGGGCGUAAAGGGUGCGUAGGCGGGUUUUUAAGUCAGGGGUGAAAUCCUGGAGCUCAACUCCAGAACUGCCUUUGAUACUGAAGAGCUUGAGCAAGCUAGGGGGCAAUGGAAUUCCCGGUGUAGUGGUGGAAUGCGUAGAUAUCGGGAGGAACACCAGUGGCGAAGGCGGUUGCCUGGGGCUUUGCUGACGCUGAUGCGCGAAAGCGUGGGGAGCGAUCCGG
rnacentral:rRNA from 1 species